UGGGCGUUAAUACAUUUCAUA
rnacentral:miRNA from 1 species